rnacentral:rRNA from 1 species
AAGCGUCUGGAAAGGCGCGCGAUACAGGGUGACAGCCCCGUACACAAAAGCGCAUGUGCUGUGAGCUCGAUGAGUAGGGCGGGACACGUGGUAUCCUGUCUGAAUAUGGGGGGACCAUCCUCCAAGGCUAAAUACUCCUGACUGACCGAUAGUGAACCAGUACCGUGAGGGAAAGGCGAAAAGAACCCCGGCGAGGGGAGUGAAAAAGAACCUGAAACCGUGUACGUACAAGCAGUGGGAGCACAGGUUUACCUGUGUGACUGCGUACCUUUUGUAUAAUGGGUCAGCGACUUAUAUUCUGUAGCAAGGUUAACCGAAUAGGGGAGCCGGAGGGAAACCGAGUCUUAAUUGGGCGUUAAGUUGCAGGGUAUAGACCCGAAACCCGGUGAUCUAGCCAUGGGCAGGUUGAAGGUUGGGUAACACUAACUGGAGGACCGAACCGACUAAUGUUGAAAAAUUAGCGGAUGACCUGUGGCUGGGGGUGAAAGGCCAAUCAAACCGGGAGAUAGCUGGUUCUCCCCGAAAGCUAUUUAGGUAGCGCCUCGUGAAUUCAUCUCCGGGGGUAGAGCACUGUUUCGGCUAGGGGGCCAUCCCGGCUUACCAACCCGAUGCAAACUGCGAAUACCGGAGAAUGUUAUCACGGGAGACACACGGCGGGUGCUAACGUCCGUCGUGAAGAGGGAAACAACCCAGACCGCCAGCUAAGGUCCCAAAGUCAUGGUUAAGUGGGAAACGAUGUGGGAAGGCCCAGACAGCCAGGAUGUUGGCUUAGAAGCAGCCAUCAUUUAAAGAAAGCGUAAUAGCUCACUGGUCGAGUCGGCCUGCGCGGAAGAUGUAACGGGGCUAAACCAUGCACCGAAGCUGCGGCAGCGACGCUGAUGCGUUGUUGGGUAGGGGAGCGUUCUGUAAGCCUGCGAAGGUGUGUCGUGAGGCAUGCUGGAGGUAUCAGAAG